UUAUUAUAGGCAUAACUGCAUUGUCUGUUGAGGUCCCAUCAAAUGCACUUGCUGAAAUAUCUGGCAAAUAUUGAGGGAACAGAAACACAUGCUAACAAACGUUGUGGAGAAUGGAAAGACAAAUACUUACCAAUUAAUGAUAAAAGAAAUGCCUAAUUUGAAGAAUGAAUUACACUUAUUUUCAUAAUCAAGAAGCAGAUGUGUCAAGAUGAACUCAAACAAUGGAACAUUUUAUAUAAUUUCUGUACUUGUUGGAUGGGCUGAAGCAUUCAUAAUGUGUCUCCAUAUCUUGUUAUGCCAAGCUUAGGACUGAUGUCAUCAUUAAUAAGUCUUAGAUUCAAGCAAGUUCAAGUCGUAUUUACCUCUUCAUAUUUGAGUGAAAAGACAUCAAGAUCACAUUACAAACAUUGUUCUUUUUUAAUAAAAAUAAUUUUCAUAAAUUGUCUUACAAAUGCAG